rnacentral:rRNA from 1 species
UACGUAGGGUGCAAGCGUUAUCCGGAAUUAUUGGGCGUAAAGAGCUCGUAGGCGGUUUGUCGCGUCUGCUGUGAAAACCCGAGGCUCAACCUCGGGCCUGCAGUGGGUACGGGCAGGCUAGAGUUCGGGUAGGGGGGAUCGGAAUUCCUGGUGUAGCGGUGAAAUGCGCAGAUAUCAGGAGGAACACCGGUGGCGAAGGCGGAUCUCUGGGCCGAUACUGACGCUGAGGAGCGAAAGCGUGGGGAGCGAACAGG